rfam:Purpureocillium lilacinum isolate PLFJ-1 scaffold00016, whole genome shotgun sequence.
GUUCCUGUGGCGCAGUGGCUUUAGCGCGUGACUCUUAUAAGCCAUCCUUUUAUGGAUUUCUUAUGGUUAGCAAUGUCAAGGUCGAGGGUUCGAAUCCCCCCAGGAACA